rnacentral:rRNA from 1 species
GUUGAACGCUAGCGGCAGGCUUAAUACAUGCAAGUCGAGGGGCAGCAUGAAUGUAGCAAUACAUUUGAUGGCGACCGGCAAACGGGUGCAGAACACGUACACAACCUUCCUAUAAGUGGGGAAUAGCCCAGAGAAAUUUGGAUUAAUACCCCGUAACAUAAUGAUGUGGCAUCACAUUAUUAUUAUAGCUACGGCGCUUAUUGAUGGGUGUGCGGCUGAUUAGAUAGUUGGCGGGGUAACGGCACACCAAGUCUACGAUCAGUAGCUGAUGUGAGAGAAUGAUCAGCCACACGGGCACUGAGACACGGGCCCGACUCCUACGGGAGGCAGCAGUAAGGAAUAUUGGUCAAUGGACGCAAGUCUGAACCAGCCAUGCCGCGUGAAGGAUUAAGGUCCUCUGGAUUGUAAACUUCUUUUAUCUGGGACGAAAAAAGGCGAUUCUUCGUCACUUGACGGUACCAGAUGAAUAAGCACCGGCUAACUCCGUGCCAGCAGCCGCCGUAACAC